UACGUAGGUGGCAAGCGUUGUCCGGAUUUACUGGGCGUAAAGAGCGCGCAGGCGGUCGUUCAAGUCGCGUGUGAAAGCCCCCGGCUCAACUGGGGAGGGUCAUUCGAUACUGUCCGACUCGAAGGCAGGAGAGGGAAGCGGAAUUCCCGGUGUAGUGGUGAAAUGCGUAGAUAUCGGGGAGGAACACCAGUGGCGAAGGCGGCUUUCUGGCCUGUUCUUGACGCUGA
rnacentral:rRNA from 1 species